GAUGAACGCUGGCGGCGUGCCUAAUACAUGCAAGUCGAGCGAACGGACGAGAAGCUUGCUUUUCUGAUGUUAGCGGCGGACGGGAGAGUAACACGUGGAUAACCUACCUAUCAUACUGGGAUAACUUCGGGAAACCGGCGCUAAUACCGGAUAAUAUUUUGCACCGCAUUGUUCAAAAGUGAAAGACGGUCUUGCUGUCACUUAUCGAUGGAUCCGCGCUGCAUUAGCUGGUUGGUAAGGUAACGGCCUACCAAGGCAACGAUGCAUAGGCGACGUGAGAGAGGGAUAGGCCACACGAGAGCGUGGACACGCACCUGACGACUGCGGUAGGCAGCAGUAGGGAAUCGUCCGCAGUGGGCGAAAGCCUUACGGAGCAACGCCGCGUGUGAGGUGGCGGUCUUGGGAGCGUAAAACUCUGUUAUUAGGUAAGAACAUAUGUGUAAGGAACUGUGCACAGCGUGACGGUACCUAGUCAGAAAGCCACGGCUAACUACGUG
rnacentral:rRNA from 1 species